rnacentral:lncRNA from 1 species
CAAUUGGCGUUCGCUGCCACCUGCGAGGACAGAGUCCUCUCUGCGCUGGGGCUGUGGGGCUGCCUGGCGCUCACUGCAGGACGGGGACAGGAGAGCUUCUCAGCUGGCAGCCCACAAAAUGCCACGGAACGAGGAGUGUCCCCUACCCUCCCAUCACCUCCAGAGAGGUUAAGCGGCGGCGGGACGCAGACAGCUGGUUUUCGCGCAGCUCCCUCUCUUUGGGCACUCCUUCCCUUUCCUCCUUGCUCGCGCGAAGCCGGGGUGAUUUUUCCAAUUAGGAAAAACUCGAGCGCUUUUCCCCUUUCCCCUUCCUCUGACCCUGCCCGGGCCCCGGGGCACGGCCCUGCCCGCCGCCAGCACACGGCCCCCAUCGCCCCCAUCUCCCCGCAGGAGGAACUUUCCUCCGGAGCCGCUCCAGCCGCUGCCCGCGGGGCCGCGCCGCCUCCAGCCCGGCACUUUCCGAGCCCGCUGAGGACAAAGCCCCGAGAGCCCCGCUCCCCUCCAGCCCAGGUCCCCCCGCCCCGCGCCGCAGGUGCCCCCCGGGGGAGGGCAGGGGCCGGGAGCAGCCAGGGGAGGGGGCGAGGGGCGGGGAGGCCGGGCUCGGGGGGUCCCUGGCAGCGGCGCCCGCUCAGGGCACUGCUCCGCAAAGCCCCGCUCGGCACAGCGCGGCUCGACAGCGCAAAGCUCGGCACGGCUCGGCACGGCUCGGCUCGGCUCAGCGCCCCGCGCCAUGGGCCGGAGCUUCACCGGCGCGGGGCUCGUCCUGGCGGCGGCCGCGGCGUUCUGCCUCGGCGGGGCGGGAGGCAGCAAGGUAACCCCGGGCGGCCCCUGCCCGCCCCCGGCGGCACGCGGGACACGGCGCGGCACGGCGGGCUCGCAGGGCGGACAGCGCUCGGGGCCGGCACACCCGACGGGCGGGCGGCUGCACCGGGAGCGGGGCUCGGCGGGCGGCGCGAUCCGCCGGGACGCGGGGAUGCGGCGGGGAUGCCCUCGGCCCCUGCCCGGGGUGGGGUCUGCGGCCGGCUCCUUAGGGCCGGCUCCUCAGGGCUGGCUGCGGGAGGCUGCGUCGGGUCAUUCAGAUGCGGUACGGGCGGACGCGAGAUCCCGGGCAAGCCCCGUGGAUGCCGAUGUGUGAGCGUUCCUGGCAGAAAUCGGAGCACUUGCCCAAAGGCGGCCAGAACGAGGGGUAGCUUGCCGCACGGAGCCCAACCCAAGCACCUCGCGUCGCGUUCCCCUCCCUUUGCUCUCCUGCCUCGUGCACCUCAUCUGCGGUACUGA